UGGGGAAUUUUGGACAAUGGGCGAAGCCAUGCAUCCAGCAAUGCCGCGUGUGUGAAGAAGGCCUUCGGGUUGUAAAGCACUUUUGUCCGGAAAGAAAUCCUUGGCUCUAAUACAGUCGGGGGAUGACGGUACCGGAAGAAUAAGCACCGGCUAACUACGUGCCAGCAGCCGCGGUAAUACGUAGGGUGCAAGCGUUAAUCGGAAUUACUGGGCGUAAAGCGUGCGCAGGCGGUUUGCUAAGACCGAUGUGAAAUCCCCGGGCUCAACCUGGGAACUGCAUUGGUGACUGGCAGGCUAGAGUAUGGCAGAGGGGGGUAGAAUUCCACGUGUAGCAGUGAAAUGCGUAGAGAUGUGGAGGAAUACCGAUGGCGAAGGCAGCCCCCUGGGCCAAUACUGACGCUCAUGCACGAAAGCGUGGGGAGCAAAACAGGAUUAGAUACCCUGGUAGUCCACGCCCUAAACGAUGUCAACUAGUUGUUGGGGAUUCAUUUCCUUAGUAACGUAGCUAACGCGUGAAGUUGACCGCCUGGGGAGUACGGUCGCAAGAUUAAAACUUAAAUGAAUUGACGGGGUCAUAGCUGUUUCCU
rnacentral:rRNA from 1 species